ensembl:misc_RNA Metazoa_SRP Metazoan signal recognition particle RNA
GUCGGGCGCGGUGGUGCGUGCCUGUAGUCCCAGCUACUCUGGAGGCUGAGGUGGGAGGAUCGCUUGAGCCCAGGAGUUCUGGGCUGUAGUGAGCUAUGCUGAAUCAGGUGUCGGCACUAAGUUCGGCAUCAAUAUGGUGACCUCCCAGGAGUGGGGGACCACCAGGUUGCCUAAGGAGGGGUGAACCGGCCCAGGUCAGAAACAGAACAGGUCAAAACUCCCGUGCUGAUCAGUAGUGGGAGCACACCUGUGAACAGCCACUGCACUCCAGCCUGAGCAACACAGUGAGACACCAUCUCUU